rnacentral:tRNA from 1 species
GAUUCGCUAGCUCAGCAGGUAGAGCAUCGCCCUUUUAAGGCGGGGGUCCUGGGUUCGAAUCCCAGGCGGAUCA